UCCAUUUCUUUUUCUUUCCUCCGUUUUCCUUCCUCGACCCGCGCCCCGCGCCACCCGUCGUCGUUUCUCCUUCUUUUCCCCAACCGAUGCGCCGCCGCCACCCUUCCUCGUCGUUUCUCCUCCCUCCGGUACAAAAGUCGUGGCCCAGGGUUUUGCAACCCUUUCUCUUCCUCUUCCCCUUUGGCUCCCGCGACGCCGAAGCUCCUCUUCACCUCUACCUCGAUCCUCCUUGCGCCGACGCGGAGCCCUAGAGCUCGAGCCACCGCCCAAUCGCCGGAAGGAAGGGCCAAUGUCAACCCUCAUCUCACUGAGCCCUAGCCCCGGCCGACCCGCGACUCCCUCCCUUCCCCUUCGCCGGCACUUGAGCAAGAGUCGACCAACCUUUCUCCUCGAGCCAACAACCGAAGCUGCUGGAUCGGGCCAGACCCUCCGACCGCCGGCGUGAACGGGAUAGUUAGGGCUUCGAGGGUGAGAGAUUGGAUCUCCCUCUCUGCUCACUAUCUCUCCCCUGUUCUUGAGCCGUGCCCUAGUUCCGAGCCAGCAAGGUUGAGGUUGUUCAGGAGGUUCCAGUCGCUAGUCCCCCACCACUGCGUGUCACGACGAGUUCGCACAUUUUGGUUUCUGUUAUUGUUUAUGUUAUUUAGACUAUGUUUUCAGACUUGUAGCUUUUAGCAUUUCGAUCUUAUACGUUUUGUUAUGUGCCGAUGAGUUUUUAUUUGAAUGUAUGUUGGAGUUUUGUGUUUUA